UUUCCGUAGGUGAACCUGCGGAAGGAUCAUUAUUGAAUAAACCUGAUGUGGUUGUAGCUGGCCCUUUCGGGAGCAUGUGCACACCCGUCGUCUUUAUCUUCCCACCUGUGCACCUUUUGUAGACCUGGAUGUAACACUUUCCGAGGCAACUCGGUCGGGAGGAAUGCUGUCAGCUUUCCUUGAAUGUCCAGGCCUAUGUUUUCAUAUACCCCAAAGAAUGUAACUGAAUGUAUUAUUGGGCCUUGUGCCUAUAAACUAUAUACAACUUUCAGCAACGGAUCUCUUGGCUCUC
rnacentral:misc_RNA from 1 species